rnacentral:rRNA from 1 species
GACGAACGCUGGCGGCGUGCUUAACACAUGCAAGUCGAACGGAAAGGCCCUGCUUGCAGGGUACUCGAGUGGCGAACGGGUGAGUAACACGUGGGUGAUCUGCCCUGCACUUCGGGAUAAGCCUGGGAAACUGGGUCUAAUACCGGAUAGGAGCCACUUUCUGUGUGUUGGAUGGAAAGAUUUUUCGGUGUAGGAUGAGCUCGCGGCCUAUUAGCUUGUUGGUGGGGUAAUGGCCUACCAAGGCGGCGACGGGUAGCCGGCCUGAGAGGGUGGACGGCCACAUUGGGACUGAGAUACGGCCCAGACUCCUACGGGAGGCAGCAGUGGGGAAUAUUGCACAAUGGGCGCAAGCCUGAUGCAACGACGCCGCGUGGGGGAUGACGGCCUUCGGGUUGUAAACUCCUUUCGCUAGGGACGAAGCUUUUUGUGACGGUACCUAGAUAAGAAGCACCGGCUAACUACGUG